GAUGAACGCUGGCGUCGUGCUUAACACAUGCAAGUCGAACGGUGAAGCAUGAGCUUGCUCUUGUGGAUCAGUGGCGAACGGGUGAGUAACACGUGAGCAACCUGCCCCUGACUCUGGGAUAAGCGCUGGAAACGGUGUCUAAUACUGGAUAUGUGAUGUGACCGCAUGGUCUGCAUCUGGAAAGAAUUUCGGUUGGGGAUGGGCUCGCGGCCUAUCAGCUUGUUGGUGAGGUAAUGGCUCACCAAGGCGUCGACGGGUAGCCGUCCUGAGAGGGUGACCGGCCACAAUGGGAGUGAGACACGGCCCAGACUCCUACGGGAGGCAGCAGUGGGGAAUAUUGCACAAUGGGCGGAAGCCUGAUGCAGCAACGCCGAGUGAGGGAUGACGGCCUUCGGGUUGUAAACCUCUUUUAGCAGGGAAGAAGCGAAAGUGACGGUACCUGCAGAAAAAGCACCGGCUAACUACGUGCCAGCCGCCGCCUAA
rnacentral:rRNA from 1 species